rnacentral:tRNA from 1 species
AGAGGGGGUUUAAAGACCUGCUAAUUCUUCAACCUGGAACUAACAUCCAGCCCCCUCU